GACGAACCGAGCGAGCGUUGUUCGGAAUCACUGGGCUUAAAGGGCGCGUAGGCGGAUUCUCAAGUCCGGGGUGAAAUCCCACAGCUCAACUGUGGAACUGCCUCGGAUACUGGGAGUCUCGAGGGUGGCAGGGGUAUGCGGAACUAUCGGUGGAGCGGUGAAAUGCGUUGAUAUCGAUAGGAACUCCGGUGGCGAAGGCGGCAUACUGGUCCACUUCUGACGCUGAGGCGCGAAAGCCAGGGGAGCAAACGGG
rnacentral:rRNA from 1 species